rnacentral:lncRNA from 1 species
AAAUGUAAAAACUCUUAAUACUGUGAAUUAUAAUAAAGUUGUAAUUGCAGUGAUUAAGUCUUUGCCAAUCUUGAAGGAGCAAAUGUAAAAACUCUUAAUACUGUAAAUUAUAACAAAUGUGUGAUUACAGUAGAUUGGAAUAAGAGUGAUGAUACGGCAACGAAAAGCUUAAACAAGUGGCUUAUCUUAUCAAAAUUAAAUUAAGAAAAUAUUGUUUCAUAUAUUCGGGUUUAUCUCAUAUUAAAGCUACCUUUGUAAAACAUGGGUUUAUUAUCAUCAGUUUAAUAAAUAAAAUCCGGUGUUUCUAAACUCCGGUAUU